rnacentral:rRNA from 1 species
GGCAGCACGGACUUCGGUCUGGUGGCGAGUGGCGAACGGGUGAGUAAUGUAUCGGAACGUGCCCAGUAGCGGGGGAUAACUACGCGAAAGCGUAGCUAAUACCGCAUACGCCCUACGGGGGAAAGCAGGGGAUCGCAAGACCUUGCACUAUUGGAGCGGCCGAUAUCGGAUUAGCUAGUUGGUGGGGUAACGGCUCACCAAGGCGACGAUCCGUAGCUGGUUUGAGAGGACGACCAGCCACACUGGGACUGAGACACGGCCCAGACUCCUACGGGAGGCAGCAGUGGGGAAUUUUGGACAAUGGGGGAAACCCUGAUCCAGCCAUCCCGCGUGUGCGAUGAAGGCCUUCGGGUUGUAAAGCACUUUUGGCAGGAAAGAAACGUCGCGGGUUAAUACCUCGCGGAACUGACGGUACCUGCAGAAUAAGCACCGGCUAACUACGUGCCAGCAGCCGCGGUAAUACGUAGGGUGCAAGCGUUAAUCGGAAUUACUGGGCGUAAAGCGUGCGCAGGCGGUUCGGAAAGAAAGAUGUGAAAUCCCAGAGCUUAACUUUGGAACUGCAUUUUUAACUACCGGGCUAGAGUGUGUCAGAGGGAGGUGGAAUUCCGCGUGUAGCAGUGAAAUGCGUAGAUAUGCGGAGGAACACCGAUGGCGAAGGCAGCCUCCUGGGAUAACACUGACGC